rnacentral:rRNA from 1 species
UGGUGAAUGACUAGGUUGGCUAGCUGAUGAAGGGCGUGACAAGCUGCGAUAUGCCGCGGGUAGACGCAUGAAGUCUUUGAUCCGCGGAUACCUGAAUGGGACUUCCUCAUAUGGGUUAAUACCCCAUAUGGAUCCGGGGUCAUUCCUGGAUUGGGAACGCUCGGAAUUGAAGCAUCUUAGUACGGGCAGGAAAAGAAAACAAUUGUGAUUCCCCUAGUAACAGCGAGCGAACGGGGAAUAGGCCAAACCGAAUCCCUGUGCGAUGAGUACAGGGGGAUGUGGUGUGGGGACCACGAACAAUUACCUAAGCAUACGAAGCCGAGGUUGUCUGGAACGACAUGGCGAAGAGGGUGACACCCCCGUAGGCGUAAGAUGCCGGUAUGUUUGUGGAACCAGAGUAGCGCGGGUUGGAUGUCUCGCGUGAAAACCGCAGGUACAAUCUGCGAAGCCUAAAUACUCAGCCAAACCGAUAGAAAACUAUGUAGCGCGAGCGAAAGUUGAAAAGCGCCGCGGGAGCGGGGUGAAAAGCACCUGAAACCACUGGUUUACUCAAAGGAUGCUGAUUACAAGAUUAGAUACUCGAGGAACGAAGCAUGAGUGAUUGUGUUGUAGGACUUGAGUGGAUCGAGUCAGCAUCAUCCGUCUUGAAACACGGGCCAGGGAGUUCAUGGGCGUGGCAAGGAUAAGGCGAAGAGCCGUAAACGAAGGGAAACCGAUAUGCCCGCAGCCUUCGGGCGAGGGGCGGCGUGUGAAAGUGCGCGAAGUCACUCUCAUGAUACGAGAAGCCAGUCGAUCUAGGCUUGGCCAGGGUGAAGCCGGGCGAAAGCUCGGUGGAGGUCCGAUAGGGUUAUGACGUGCAACUCUUUCCGUUGAGCUGAGCGUAGGGGUAAAAGGCUUAUCUAGACUGGUGAUUGCUCGUUCUCUGCGAAGUUGCUCGCAGGCAAGCCCCGCUUGAGGUAUCACGUGGUGUAGAGCACUUUCGGAUGUGCCCGGGGGGCGUCAAGCCCUUCACCAUCCUGAAAACUCCGAAGCUGCGUGAACCGUAGACAGCGGGAGACGGGUGCCCGGGGUAAGCUCGGCAGGCCGAGAUGGGGAGAACCGAGAGUACGGUUAAGGUCCCUAAGUACCAGAUAAGUGCGGUGAAGAAGGGCGUCGAGAGCCCAAGACAGUCUGGGGGUGAGCUUAGAAGCAGCUAUCCCCGAACGAAAGCGUAACAGCUCACAGACCGAGGCUCUCGGCCUUGAAAAUGGACGGGGCUAAAUCUGGUCACCGAGACCGUACGGCACACGGGUGAUUCUGUGUGAUCCGUUAGCAGAGCGAUCCGGCUGGGUAGAAGUGGGGCUGUGAAGUCCCGUGGACCGACCGGAUUUGAUGAUCCUGGCAGUAGUAACAGCGAAGCAUGGUGAGAAUCCAUGUCACCGAAAGGGAAAGGGUUCUUCGGCGAUGCGUCAUCAGCCGAAGUUUAGUCGAUCCUAAGUGCCGCCGUAACUCGAGCGUCACGAAAGGGAAUCAGGUCAAGAAUCCUGAACCUCGGAAGUACGAUUCGCGGCAACGCAAAGCCGCACUUGUGACUCAUCUGGACGAGCCUUACACAGUUGUCGCUGUGUUUAACACCAUAAGCCUACUGAGUACUGUAAUAGUGAGAAGCAGGCGAAAGGUGGAAUAGCAGAUGGUCGGACAUCUGUUUGGCCCAUUUCUGGUGACCUUGAAAAACGAGUGCGGAAGAAUCUUCCGAGUCCGUACCAAGAUCCGACACAGGUUCCCUGGCUGAGUAGGCCAAGGUGUAUCCAGGUUAACCCUCCUGAGGGAAAUCGGCCAAUUAGCAGCGUAACUUCGGGAUAUGCUGUGCCUGGAUUAGUGCAAGCUUUUCCAGGUCUUAGUGACUAGAGGGUCCCAACUGUUUAAUACAAACAUAGCUGACUGCGAGCGCGAAAGCGUUAGUACAGUCAGUGAAUCCUGGUCUGUGCCCGUAUGUUAAAGCUCGGGAACGGGUCGAAGCACGGGUUAACGCCGGGACUAACUAUGAGUCUCUUAAGGUAGCCAAAUGCCUUGUCGGUUAAAUGCCGACGUGCAUGAAGGGAGCAACGAGGUCCCUACUGUCCCCAGGAGGAACCGGGUGAACUUACACCGUACCGAACAGUGUACGUAGCGCCAAUGGGAAAAGAAGUCCCCGCGGAGGUUUACUACGCAGUCUGUCGUUGCUCGGCUGGUGCCGAUGCAGAGCGUAGUCAGGAGCGUUGAAGCACAUUCUCCGGGAUGUGUGAAUGCAAAGUUGUAACACUGACCAUUUGUGCUGACCGAGCUAACCUAGGCCAAGCGUGUCUAGGGACACCGGCAGAUAGGCAGUUGGGCUGGGGCGGCACAGGGCUGACAAGAGAUCAGCCCUGACCAAUGCUGAGCUCAGAGGCGACGGAAACGUCUCGUUGAGAUUAAGGGCAUAAGCUCGGCUGACAGGAUCCCGAAACGCAACGGAUCCUGGGUAGAAAUACUGGCCUAACGAACCUCAAUAACGCCAAUUGUAAGUGAUUGAGAUGACAGAAAACUUACCCCAGGGGUAACAGAGUUGUCGCGUGCAAGAGUUCAUAUCGACCACGCGGCUUGCUUCCUCGAUGUCGGCUCUUGGUAUCCUCGGGUUGCAUAAGGCCCGAAGGGUGCGGGUGCUCACCGAUUAAAACCGAACGUGAGCUGGGUUUAGACCGUUGCGAGACAGGUUGGUUUUUAUCUAUUGGCGCUGUUGGAUAUCUGAGGCCAAGAUGAUACCGGUACGAGAGGAACGUAUUGUCGCGACCUAUGGUGUAUCCGUUGUCCGACAGGGCACUGCGGAGUAGCUAAGUCGUAAUGGAUAAACGCUGAAUGCAUCUAAGCGUGAAGUCAAAGCCGAAAAUAGAUAUCCACUUG